UACGAACUGUGCAAACGUUAUUCGGAAUCACUGGGCUUACAGGGUGCGUAGGCGGCUUGUUAAGUCGGGUGUGAAAUCCCCCGGCUCAACCGGGGAAUUGCGCCCUAAACUGGCGAGCUGGAGUGAGAUAGGGGUGUGCGGAACUUCCGGUGGAGCGGUGAAAUGUGUUGAUAUCGGAAGGAACGCCGGUGGCGAAAGCGGCACACUGGAUCUCAACUGACGCUGAGGCACGAAAGCCAGGGGAGCGAACGGG
rnacentral:rRNA from 1 species